AUCGACGCUAUCAAUAGUAUUCAGAUCAUGUAAUAUACUUCUUUAUGUUUAUCGAUUAUGAGUGUAACUAUUUCAACUGUACCUUGAAAUAAUGGUACAAAUAAUGAUACGAAUGGUAAAAAUAAGGUACGAGUAAAGUUGUAAUUAAUCGAUAAAAAUAAUUAACGAAUUAUGUGUAACGAAAAAAGUGUUUAAUAAGCUAAGUAGGCGUGAAAUAUUCUGCCAGAACGGUGUCAAUUACCAACCAACGAAAGCUAAAAUAAGCCAUUAUUAAGAGGCCAUGAUGACCGAUGACACCUCGUUAAUUUUCGACACUGUUGCAAUAACAACGUUCUCUAUUUACGUUUAAUUGCUUUUUACGAUGACAAUUCGUUAAACGACCAAAUAUCAUUACAACGAAGAUGAUAUUUUUGGCCAACUAUAGCAACCGGAAAUGAACACGCACUGUGAAAUAUAAUGCUCGACCACCAUUAGUUUCAAAUGAAAGGUAUAAAAAGUAUCUAAAAUUUUUGGUACUUGGCUCGUAUCUGUACAAUGAGAAAAUUGCAUAAAGCCGUGGCGUUACAAACAAAGCGUUUGCCAAGUAUUUCCUGCGAUUACGUUAUCUAUCGUUCUACACGGAGUUUUACGCAGAAUUACGAAAUUAUUAAAAAUACAAUUGUUACAUUUCCACGAAAACUCGAGAAGAGUCGAGAAGAUUGAAGAACAGAAACCGUGGGCUAUAAAGAUGUAAGAUGAUUAUGCUUGCUUGAUGUUGUUUGAUCGGCUGUCGUCAUUGCUAAAAAAUGACGAAAAUGAGAAUGUCAAGUGGAACGAUGUAGAAAGAGAGUGAACAGCAGGAUAAAGUUACGCGUCGUAUUUAUAAGACGCGCUUGCAAGAAUAGAAGAUCGAAUUUGAAUACAGUCACUAUCGACUUUGUUUCGAACGAACGACGAUUGAACGACCGAUGCAACGAUCGAUGCAAUCCUGGCUUUCACGAGAUCAUUAAUUAUAUCAAAUAACGAUUAUUUCAUUAUAAAUGGGUCAGAAACAUUAUCUUAGAGGGUGAGUAACGGUCUCUCUCUUUCUCUCUCUUUCUCUCUUUCUCUCUCUCUCUCUCUCUCUCUCUCUCUCUCUCUCUCUCUCUCUCUCUCUCUCUCUCGAAAUAGAUGAAGGACCCUAGCCGGCAAAAAUAACGUGUACCCCGUCUGCUGCGAAAUUUUUCUCCGCCACGAUCAAUGCUUGUCAACUCUUGAUUAAUUUUUAUUAUCAUUGAUCUUUUUAAUUAAAAAGUUGAAAGCACGAUUAAAGUACUUCCAUCGAGUAUCUACUUAUGUCAUAUACUUAUAUCAUUAUUAACUAUCCGUCGAAAAUAUGUCAUUUCGGAGAAGGAAGUUGUUUUCACGUCGUUUUAUAGAAUGUCCCCGAACUAAAUUCGGACGCACCGAAACAGUUGUUUCGAAAAUUGUUUAUCGUUUGGCUCGGUAGCGAUGCACUGAAACUCGAACUACAACAAUGAAAAAACUUUCUAGAUUCUGCUGGCAAGGUACACAGAAAAGACAACAAGUGUUUCGAUAUUUUGUGAAUUGAGUCACAGUAUCUGAUAGACCAAAGGUCUGGUAAAUUAAAAUGUUUCUACAUAAUCAACAACGAUCCUUUUCCUAUGUAUUUCUUUCGUGUUUAUUCCCUUAGCGUGCGAUAACGUUUUUCAACGUUGCCGAAAUAAUUUUUUAACGAAGCAAGUUCUUUGGAAAGUCAAGAGGACAAGCUGUAAGAGUGUCGUUGUAUGACCCUCUUGUGUUUGAGUAACCCAGAUCUCAUUUACGAAAAUAGAUUAAGAUUCCAAUGAAUAGUCGGUAACAUGCUUACAUUCGUUUUAUUGCAUCGCGUUAUUAGUCAGUCAUACCCCCUGUAAUCUUUUUUCAAUUGAAUCGCUCUUCCUUCCGUUGCAUUCGUUCUUACAGUGUGCACCGUUUCGUGAUAAGCCGUACGCAAGUUCGUUUGCUUGUCUUUUUCAGUGUCAUUAGGGUAGAAUCAAGACCUAGCCCUACUUUUACGGAGGGUGUCAAGGUUGGCACUCGGCGACGUAAUUCAAAAUUUAGAUCAUCUUAUGUUACGUGUUCGUUUCUAACGAGUAAUAGUCGAUUUCGAUCGCUAAUCCAUAUCUUUAAAUUCUUUAUAGAAAAAACGAUUGCUGUUAAAAUAUCCGUUCUGAAUCAGUGUCGACAGAUACGAGAAAAAAAUAAUAUAAGACGGAUGAGAAGGAAAACGUUGCGUUAGGAACAACACGGUCUUCUUUCUCGAUGCUGUGUUGUUUUAUUUUCAACAAUGAUAAGAUAUUUUAUCUUGUUAACUGAUGCAAAAUGUCAACGAGACGAUAAAAAUUCUUUUUUUGAA